UUUAAAUGGCUAAAUCAAAAGACUUAAGAUAUUUAUACUAGAAACAUUCUUAAUGAGUUUGAUAAAAAAAUACAAGGAUCUCGUCAGGUGCUUUCAUGUUUUCUUCAAAUUACAAACUUACAAAAACAAUGAGGUUCUGGCCACAAAGUGUGGUAGAUGAAUUAGUCAAUUUUUCUGAUUUCUGAUCAGCAUGAUGGUUGAUAAGAAAAUCAUUCAUGGGCUCAGUUAAUCUUAAACUUAGCCAUGUAGAAAAAAGUUACAUGAUAGGAAAGUUGCUGAACAAGAAAGAGUUCCCAAAGAAAAAAGAUUAGCAAUCAAAUAUCUGGAGAUGAUCUAACAACGCUUUAAUGAAACAGUGUAACGUAGAAUGAGUUUACGAGCGCUGCCAUAUAAAUCCACCUAACAUUGAUUGCUAAAGUAAUGUAUGAACUACAUGAAGAACUGUACAGAUUGUGUGGCAGGCGUGAUUUUUUCCAAAUCAGCAUUAAACUUAAGGCAAUGUUUCAGUAUAAAAUAUAUUGAAUUAGCCACUUCUAUGGCAUGCUUGCUGAUAUCACUUAGGAGAAAUAAUACUAACUCAUGUAUGGAACAGUUUGGAAAUUGAGGUUUCAAAAUGUCCCAAUAUUAAACUAUUUGUAAGAUUUAAAUCUAUAAGCAUCUGAUUUGCCAAAAGAAGAACUUGACAUCCCUCAAACUACUGAAGAUCUUGACAUCCCUCAAAUUUCAUAGUCUUUGAUAAACAAAAAAGAGCUUAUCGCAAAUCUUUAGCAAAAAGCAAUUAGUUGAAGUUUCAACAGAGGUGAUUAAAGCAAACUCGUUCAAAUAACAUUGUUGUAUCUAAGUAAUGGGCAAAAUGUGUUUUUUUCUGGAUUUAAUAAACCAGGCGCUUUGCACAAUGGAAGG